ensembl:lncRNA
UUCCUCAGAUGAUCCAGACGCCCCGCGGUGGAAAUGCUACGGUCGGACGGACGGUUUGUCUCACCUGUACGUCUGCCUCUCUACCUCCCGCCUGCUUCUCAUGGGAACUUAACGACCAGCCGGUGACCGCCGGCCAAUCAGGGAGUGGCGUGCUGAGUCUGCAGAUCUUCUCCACCAAUCAGAGUGGCCGUUACGCCUGCAUCGCACGGGAUGACGUCACAGGAGGGACAUCGAAGCAGCAGAUAGACCUGGCCAUUGUGGGUACGUGUCUCAGCAGGGAUCAUUGUUGCAAUCAUCAUAAUUAUCACUGUAAUUAUUUUGCUUCUGCGACAAAGAAAAAGUACGUCCCUUCUAAAUGCUUCAGUUUAUUGUUGUGUUUUAUGAUGCUGAAAAGUCUGACAUGAUUAUAUGCUCAUAUUUACAGUUGAUCGGAGACUUCUCUUAUUGUGUUCUGUGUAAUGCAGGGUAGUACCUCUUAGGGAUGGACAAUAUAGC